rnacentral:rRNA from 1 species
AGAGUUUGAUCCUGGCUCAGAUUGAACGCUGGCGGCAGGCCUAACACAUGCAAGUCGAGCGGAAACAGAGAGUAACUUGUUACUUUGCUGUCGAGCGGCGGACGGGUGAGUAAUGCUUGGGAAACUGCCCAGUCGAGGGGGACAACCAUUGGAAACGAUGGCUAAUACCGCAUACGCCCUACGGGGGAAAGAAGGGGACUCUUCGGAGCCUUUCGCGAUUGGAUGUGCCCAAGUGGGAUUAGCUAGUUGGUGAGGUAAAGGCUCACCAAGGCGACGAUCCCUAGCUGGUUUGAGAGGAUGAUCAGCCACACUGGAACUGAGACACGGUCCAGACUCCUACGGGAGGCAGCAGUGGGGAAUAUUGCACAAUGGGCGCAAGCCUGAUGCAGCCAUGCCGCGUGUAUGAAGAAGGCCUUCGGGUUGUAAAGUACUUUCAGCGAGGAGGAAAGGUUGUCGUUUAAUAAACGACAGCUGUGACGUUACUCGCAGAAGAAGGACCGGCUAACUCCGUGCCAGCAGCCGCGGUAAUACGGAGGGUCCGAGCGUUAAUCGGAAUUACUGGGCGUAAAGCGUACGCAGGCGGUUUGUUAAGCGAGAUGUGAAAGCCCCGGGCUCAACCUGGGAACUGCAUUUCGAACUGACAAACUAGAGUUUUGUAGAGGGUGGUAGAAUUUCAGGUGUAGCGGUGAAAUGCGUAGAGAUCUGAAGGAAUACCAGUGGCGAAGGCGGCCACCUGGACAAUAACUGACGCUUAUGUACGAAAGCGUGGGGAGCAAACGGGAUUAGAUACCCCGGUAGUCCACGCCGUAAACGAUGUCAACUAGCCGACUGGCGCCUUGAGCGCUGGGUGGCGCAGCUAACGCAUUAAGUUGACCGCCUGGGGAGUACGGCCGCAAGGUUAAAACUCAAAGGAAUUGACGG